AGUAGGGAAUAUUGGGCAAUGGGCGGAAGCCUGACCCAGCCAUGCCGCGUGCAGGAUGAAGGCCUUCUGGGUUGUAAACUGCUUUUACCAGGGAAGAAAAGACCCAUGCGUGGGGCACUGACGGUACCUGGGGAAUAAGCACCGGCUAACUCCGUGCCAGCAGCCGCGGUAAUACGGAGGGUGCAAGCGUUGUCCGGAUUUAUUGGGUUUAAAGGGUGCGUAGGCGGCCCCUUAAGUCAGUGGUGAAAGCCCGCGGCUCAACCGCGGAACUGCCAUUGAUACUGGGGGGCUUGAGUACAGACGAGGUAGGCGGAAUUGAAGAUGUAGCGGUGAAAUGCUUAGAUAUCUUCAAGAACCCCGAUUGCGUAGGCAGCUUACUAGGCUGUAACUGACGCUGAGGCACGAAAGCGUGGGGAGCGAA
rnacentral:rRNA from 1 species